CAAGUCGAGCGGGCGUAGCAAUACGUCAGCGGCAGACGGGUGAGUAACGCGUGGGAACGUACCUUUUGGUUCGGAACAACACAGGGAAACUUGUGCUAAUACCGGAUAAGCCCUUACGGGGAAAGAUUUAUCGCCGAAAGAUCGGCCCGCGUCUGAUUAGCUAGUUGGUGAGGUAAUGGCUCACCAAGGCGACGAUCAGUAGCUGGUCUGAGAGGAUGAUCAGCCACAUUGGGACUGAGACACGGCCCAAACUCCUACGGGAGGCAGCAGUGGGGAAUAUUGGACAAUGGGCGCAAGCCUGAUCCAGCCAUGCCGCGUGAGUGAUGAAGGCCCUAGGGUUGUAAAGCUCUUUUGUGCGGGAAGAUAAUGACGGUACCGCAAGAAUAAGCCCCGGCUAACUUCGUGCCAGCAGCCGCGGUAAUACGAAGGGGGCUAGCGUUGCUCGGAAUCACUGGGCGUAAAGGGUGCGUAGGCGGGUCUUUAAGUCAGGGGUGAAAUCCUGGAGCUCAACUCCAGAACUGCCUUUGAUACUGAAGAUCUUGAGUUCGGGAGAGGUGAGUGGAACUGCGAGUGUAGAGGUGAAAUUCGUAGAUAUUCGCAAGAACACCAGUGGCGAAGGCGGCUCACUGGCCCGAUACUGACGCUGAGGCACGAAAGCGUGGGGAGCAAAUAGGAUUAGAUACCCUGGUAGUCCACGCCGUAAACGAUGAAUGCCAGCCGUUGGUGGGUUUACUCACCAGUGGCGCA
rnacentral:rRNA from 1 species